rnacentral:rRNA from 1 species
CUUGCUCCCAUAAGAGGUCCAGCCUGCCCAGUGACCCGAUUCAACGGCCGCGGUAUCCUAACCGUGCUAAGGUAGCGUAAUCACUCGUUUUCUAAAUAAAAACUAGUAUGAAAGGCACCACGAGAAUUAAACUGUCUCCCUUUUCCAAUCAGUAAACCUAAUCUCCCCGUGAAGAAGCGGGGAUCACCUAAUAAGACGAGAAGACCCUAUGGAGCUUUAAACACUAUAAUCACUUAAUCCAAUUCACACACCCAGGUGCACUCACCCACAUAUAAUGAUUAUAUGUUUUUGGUUGGGGUGACCGCGGAGAAUAAACCAUCCCCCGCGAUGAAAGGGCCCCCCCCCCCAACAACAAGCCACAGCUUUAUGUAUCAACAAAUUGACACCAUUGACCCAAUAUUUUUGAUUAACGAAC